rnacentral:rRNA from 1 species
AAUCAACGCUGGCGGCGUGCCUCAGACAUGCAAGUCGAACGCGAAAGUUCCCUUCGGGGGGCAAGUAGAGUGGCGCACGGGUGAGUAACACGUAGGUAAUCUACCUUUGGAUGGGGAAUAACAAUCGGAACGAUUGCUAAUACCGCAUAAUGCAGCGGCACCUAAUGGUGACAGUUGUUAAAGCGGGGGAUCGAAAGACCUCGCGUCUGAAGAGGAGCCUGCGGCGGAUUAGCUAGUUGGUAAGGUAAUGGCUCACCAAGGCUUAGACGGGUAGCUGGUCUGAGAGGACGACCAGCCACACUGGAACUGAGACACGGUCCAGACACCUAC